GGGAUUGCCCUAGUAACGGCGAGUGAAGCGGCAACAGCUCAAAUUUGAAAUCUGGCCCUCGUGGUCCGAGUUGUAAUUUGUAGAGGAUGCUUUUGGCGCGGUGCCUUCCGAGUUCCCUGGAACGGGACGCCAGAGAGGGUGAGAGCCCCGUACGGUUGGACACCUACCCUAUACAUAGCUCCUUCGACGAGUCGAGUAGUUUGGGAAUGCUGCUCUAAAUGGGAGGUAAAUUUCUUCUAAAGCUAAAUACCGGCCAGAGACCGAUAGCGCACAAGUAGAGUGAUCGAAAGAUGAAAAGCACUUUGAAAAGAGGGUUAAAUAGCACGUGAAAUUGUUGAAAGGGAAGCGUUUGCGACCAGACUUUUUCCAGGCGGAUCAUCCGGUGUUCUCACCGGUGCACUUCGCCUGGUUUAGGCCAGCAUCGGUUCUCUUAGGGGGAUAAAGGCUCGGGGAACGUGGCUCCUUCGGGAGUGUUAUAGCCCCUUGCGUAAUACCCUUCGGGGGACCGAGGAUCGCGCUCUGCAAGGAUGCUGGCGUAAUGGUCGUCAACGACCCGUCUUGAAACACGGACCAAGGAGUCGAACAUUUGUGCGAGUGUUUGGGUGUUAAACCCUCACGCGUAAUGAAAGUGAACGGAGGUGAGAGCCCUUACGGGUGCAUCAUCGACCGAUCCUGAUGUCUUCGGAUGGAUUUGAGUAAGAGCAUAACUGUUCGGACCCGAAAGAUGGUGAACUAUGCGUGGAUAGGGUGAAGCCAGAGGAAACUCUGGUGGAGGCUCGCAGCGGUUCUGACGUGCAAAUCGAUCGUCAAAUCUGCGCAUGGGGGCGAAAGACUAUCGACCAUCAGACUGGACGGGC
rnacentral:rRNA from 1 species